AAUCGGACUAGGAUAUAGCUGGUUUUCUGCGAAAAUUGUUUUGGCAAAUUGUUUAUUCCUCUUAAAAAUAGUAGGUAUAGCACUGAAUAUCUCGAGGGAGUAUGAAAAUAUUUAUCUCAGAUAUUUAAUCUCAAAAUAACUAUUUCUUAAAAUAAAUAAUCAGACUAUGUGCGAUAAGGUAGAUAGUCGAAAGGGAAACAGCCCAGAACAGUAAUUAAAGCUCCCCAAUUAAUAUUAAGUG
rnacentral:rRNA from 1 species